rnacentral:tRNA from 1 species
GCCUUCGUGGUGUAAUUGGAAACACACUCGAUGCGAAUUCGAGAGGUCCAGGGUUUGAGUCCCGGCGAGGGCA